UCGUCGCUGCUCGGAGCGCACGCAGAGCGGAGCGAGGAGCAAACGGCCGCCGCCGCCGCCGAGUGCGCGCGCUUCGUUCUCUCUCUCUCUUCUCUCUCGUCCGUGCGCUCUCUCUCUCUCUCUCUCUCGCUCUCUCGCAGGUUUAAUAAUGAGGAGGCGUUCAAGGGAUCGCUCCAGUCUGUUGCGAGCACGCCGUCCAGCACCGUCCGCGGACGCGUCCGGACUGACGUCACGCUCGAGAGUGGGUGUGCGAGUGACCGACCGGGGGCCCCGACCGUCCGUCCAACUCGGCCGGUGUCCCCCGCCCCGACCCCCUCAGUGAGUGUUGAGUGCUCCCAGUGCAAGCUUGGUGAUCAAUCUGUCUGUCCGUCGCCGUCCACGCCGGAAAAUUGUGCUGCAAAUGCUACCCGCCUAUGCACCAAUAUGGCGGCAUUUUUGCCCUCGCACCCGCUGGUAGCAGUGCGUUAAGGCAGGUGAGGAAUCUGCAGCUGGAUCAGCAGUGAGUGCAAAAACCGCCGCCGCAGCGCGCGAAUGUAUCUCUCUGUCAGUCGCUAUGUCUGCUUUCACUCGUUGCAAAAGUCAGUGUGUUCGGUGUGUACGCGGAAAAUAUACUCUGCCGCUGCUGCUGAUUGAGUGUGCCAGCCGCCGCUGCCGCCGGGAGAAAGAGAGAGAGAAAUAGAGAUUGUCACCGAGUUUGCUGAGUCCAAAGUGCGAAUGCGAGGGUUCUGCACGUUCUCAAAGAGAGCAAUAACAGUCAAUUUCAGCUCAAAAUGAUCGAAUUGCUGGCAGUGCUUUAGUGAACUGAACGUACGCGCUAAUUGCAUCGGGAGUUGGAGGUGCGACAACCGCCGCGCAUUCCAUCCUCGCGCCUCACCACUCGCACGCUGCACUCUCUCUUAACACACGAGUAUAUUUAUACAAUUCCCAAAGGCGCGCAGUGUGAUAAAUUCCGCCAAGUCUCGAGUUCCAGGUAACCACCUCCGCGGCAAACAAACAUACUCGCGCGCAAUCGCAUUAAUCCAUAGCAAUUACGCCAGUCAAAAUGUACAACAAUGUAAGAGGCGGCAAAUCUCUCGAGUUUCGCGGAAAAGCGAACGCGCCCCGCAGCAUGAAAUUGUGCCAACCGUCGACUGUUUGUUUGCACAUGGUGGCAGUGAAUUAGAGAGGCAGCAGAAAACCGUUUUUAUUAACUCCUUCAGGUUGCAAACGAGCUUUUAAUAGACACCGAUUUCUUGGAAAAUAUUAUUCACUGUUUUGAAAACGAUUUUUUAAUUAAAGUUACGAGUCACAAAUUUUGAAAUUAUGCGCUGUGUUUUUGAGACUUGACUUUUGGAAUUAAUGUCAUAACUUUUUAUCCGGCUCAACGAAAAUAAGCAACGUGGGCACACUACAAAUUGCAAUUUUAUGUUCACUUGCUACAAAAUAAUUUAAGUGAGCUGUGACUUGAACUGUAUUUGGUUUUUAAUUUUUGGACCAUUCUUAUAGAAAUUAUAGAUAAUUUAUAUUCAUUUCGUUGAAAUGUUUCAGAUAAUUAUUAUUACGUUUUGAUGAGCAUUCUAUGAAUUUAUGAUGGAAGCAUUUUGCGAUAAAGAAAGGAAAGCUAUUUUAAAAUUCUUGGAAUUAUUUUGUAAACGUGGAACAUGUAGGACCAAUUAAAUUGUAUUCAAAUGAUAGUAGCUGAAGAUCCUUGGACGUUGGAGAAAAAUUCAUAAUAAUGGUCCAGCUUUCCGAAUAUUGGUGCAUGACUAACCGUAUGUAUGCUGCAUGUCGCUUUGCUUGGUGGAAAUACUCUUUAUGCUGCAUAGUAGCUGAAAUAAAAAAUCGAAUCUCACAAUAAAA